rnacentral:rRNA from 1 species
UACAGAGGGGGCAAGCGUUAUUCGGAAUUAUUGGGCGUAAAGGGCGCGUAGGCGGCCUGGCAAGUGGAAGGUGAAAUCCCUCGGCUUAACCGAGGAACUGCCCUCCAAACUGCUUGGCUUGAGUCCGGGAGAGGUGAGUGGAAUUCCCAGUGUAGCGGUGAAAUGCGUAGAUAUCGGGAGGAACACCAAUGGCGAAGGCAGCUCGCUGGGACGGUACUGACGCUGAGGCGCGAAAGCGUGGGGAGCAAACAGG